UCUUUGGUAGCAAUACCGAAGAAAGUCUAGUGGCGAACGGGUGCGUAACACGUGGGCAAUCUGCCUUAAAGUGGGGGAUAGCUCGGCGAAAGCCGGAUUAAUACCGCAUGUGAUUACCGGAGACAUCUUCGGAACAUCAAAGUCGGGGCAACCUGACGCUUUUUGAGGAGCCCGCGGCCUAUCGGCUAGUUGGUGAGGUAACGGCUCACCAAGGCUUUGACGGGUAGCUGGUCUGAGAGGACGACCAGUCACACUGGAACUGAGACACGGUCCAGACACCUACGGGUGGCAGCAGUCGAGAAUUUUUCUCAAUGGGGGAAACCCUGAAGGAGCGACGCCGCGUGGAGGAUGAAGGUCUUCGGGUUGUAAACUCCCGUCAUUUGGGAACAAUGCUUACGUAUUAACUGUACGUGAGUUGAUAGUACCAGAAGAGGAAGAGACGGCUAACUCUGUGCCAGCAGCCGCGGUAAUACAGAGGUCUCAAGCGUUGUUCGGAUUCAUUGGGCGUAAAGGGUGUGUAGGUGGCGCGCUAAGUCGGGUGUGAAAUUUCGGAGCUUAACUCCGAAACUGCAUUCGAUACUGGCGUGCUUGAGGACUGGAGAGGAGACUGGAAUUCUCGGUGUAGCA
rnacentral:rRNA from 1 species